rnacentral:snRNA from 1 species
GUGCUCGCCUCGGCAGCACAUAUACUAAAAUUGGAACAAUAGAGAGAAGAUUAGCAUGGCCCCUGCAAGGAUGACACGCAAAUUCGUGAAGCGUUCCAUAUUU